UGUGAUCUAUAUAUCCCACCCUUCUAGGGUUUGGAGGAAUACAAGCUAUUAUUCUCUCCUAUAGUUAUCCUGAAUUUGAGCAGCAGCCCUGCCCUCGUGAAGGAAGUGGAAGCUGCGUUGGCCCUGGCCGCCCAGUGAAGGAGCUUGGUCACCACCGGAGACGAGGACUACAAGUGGGGCAUCGACUAAAGUGAUCAGCCUGCGAAUGGAAUUUGUGAUUUUUGUGCUUCGCCUGAGGAAUAGCAGUGAAAAUAUGAAAUCCAUGGGGGAAGAAGGUGAUUUGCAGAAUAGGAGAGGAUGUUCAUAGGAAAGAAAUACCUCAUUUCAUUUUGCUCUUUUAACGAUUUCACAUGUCAUUUAAUCAAUCCAUACUAUUUUUGUUUUGGAUCUGGCCAGUGAUAAAUGCAUACUGUUUUCAUGGCAACAUUUCUAGCCCGCUGUCUGUAUUAUAAAGCUGGUUUUCCUGUUGCUUGAUUGCAUUGUGAACACCUUUAGGGGAUAUCGAAUCUCUACCAUUUAUCAAAGAUUUCAUGUCAAUUGUCCUAUACUAUCGUGUGAGAAGCUUCAUACAUUCUGAUGCAUACAAUUUCCAUCUUCAAUUAGUAUUCAUGAGUGGUGAUCUCACUUCUAUAUUAUUUGGUUUGACAUUUAACAGGUAGUGGGAACUUCAUAUUCUUGUGACAAUGCUUCUCAAAAUUUUAGAGAGUAAAAGAAGAACUGAGCCAUGACAGGAGUCCCAGCAAUACUAUCUCAACAUACCAACAAGCUAAAGCUAAUUUCCUGAUAUUGUGACUGAGUAGAGAUGUUUGGGAAAUUGGUACUCAAUAGUCAAUGCUCUUUUUAACAUCCAGAGUGAUUGGCAGUAAUAUUUGAGAAACUUGGAGCCACGGACACUUAUAACAUGUCUUUGGAUAAAGCUGGGAUCGGAGUAGUAAUAGCAUAACUUGAAACUAGUAGUAGUACUAGCAUAACUUGAAGUUCUUUCAGCAAGAGUGGCAGGUCCAAAUUUGUCCUA